ACAGAGGGUGCGAGCGUUAAUCGGAAUUACUGGGCGUAAAGCGCGCGUAGGCGGUUUAUUAAGUCGGAUGUGAAAUCCCUGAGCUUAACUUAGGAAUUGCAUUCGAUACUGGUAAGCUAGAGUAUGGGAGAGGAAGGUAGAAUUCCAGGUGUAGCGGUGAAAUGCGUAGAGAUCUGGAGGAAUACCGAUGGCGAAGGCAGCCUUCUGGCCUAAUACUGACGCUGAGGUGCGAAAGCAUGGGGAGCAAACAGG
rnacentral:rRNA from 1 species